GAUGAACGCUGGCGGCGUGCCUAAUACAUGCAAGUCGAGCGAACAGACGAGGAGCUUGCUCCUCUGACGUUAGCGGCGGACGAGUGAGUAACACGUGGAUAACCUACCUAUAAGACUGGGAUAACUUCGGGAAACCGGAGCUAAUACCGGAUAAUAUAUUGAACCGCAUGGUUCAAUAGUGAAAGACGGUUUUGCUGUCACUUAUAGAUGGAUCCGCGCCGCAUUAGCUAGUUGGUAAGGUAACGGCUUACCAAGGCAACGAUGCGUAGCCGACCUGAGAGGGUGAUCGGCCACACUGGAACUGAGACACGGUCCAGACUCCUACGGGAGGCAGCAGUAGGGAAUCUUCCGCAAAGGGCGAAAGCUUGACGGAGCAACGCCGCGUGAGUGAUGAAGGUCUUCGGAUCGUAAAACUCUGUUAUUAGGGAAGAACAAAUGUGUAAGUAACUAUGCACGUCUUGACGGUACCUAAUCAGAAAGCCACGGCUAACUACGUG
rnacentral:rRNA from 1 species